rnacentral:sRNA from 1 species
GGGCCUUUGAAGAGCACUGGCAGCUUCCUUCUUAGCAGAGGAGAAAAUCUCUGCUAUCUCAUCCUCGCCUACCUCGACUUGCCAGACGCCCUGGAGCGGAAGAGGAGCAAUGGUCGGCAGCGGCCAGCCGUGCAGGUGCUGCACCUGAUGGUCCACCUGGGAGAACCGGGGAGAGUCGCAGUGCACGCUCUGCGGGGAGCCGGAAGAUACAGACAGCCCAACUCUAAAUCCUUGAAAUGCAGUGUGGUGUGAAAAUGGAGCGGCAUUUUGGUUAACAAGGGUCUCGAUGCCAUUUACAGGAAAGCAGUUUCUGCAGGGUUCUGCUUUGCAGAGAUCUCUCCUGAUAAUAAUAAUAAAUUUACUCAGAACAA